ACAGCACGUCAUAACCGGACGACUUGGAGUGAAUUCGGGCUCCGGGUGAAAACUGAUUGUAAUCAGAGCCUGGGGAGUCCAUCCUCGGGAGGACCGAGUGAUCGCCUGACUCUACGCCCAGCUCUUAUAUCGAGGACAUGGGGAGCCCCAGUCAACUCGCCCGGAGCUGCCCAACCAAACAUCCUGACCGCAGGUCGCCAGACUGAGAGAGCAGAUGGAGGCCAGUCACAGCGGUGCGAAGUUACGAGGAUCCGUGCUAGCACAGCGAAACAGCCAAGAUUGCAUUACUAAAGAAGUUCCAGACAUUGAGCUGAGAGACGACCUGGAAUUCAACCCGAAUGGCGCGACAUGGCACAUGAACACAAAACUGGAGGGCCCAGAGAGACACUUGGGUGUAAUGCAUAACAGCAACACUGGAGAACAUUAAUAACAGCACUUUAACCAGGCAGCCGAGAGUCGCUCACAUGUGCAGAGUGGCACUCUGGCAAGGAGAGCCACUGUUGGUUGAUGAGCUGGCAAGGAGGAGGAGGGCCAAAUGCCAGGAUUCCAGGUAAAGACACACACACACUUACUUUGGCAAGCAAGGAAGUGACACUCGAAGAAACAAGUUAACACAUGGAGGAAGCCCACAUAGUACCACUGCGGCCUUUGAUAACACUGCCAACAAGGUUGCGUUUGUGUUUAUGUGUCACUUUGAUUGCAUGUUUCACAUGGACAGUCGAGAAUUGCUCAAGCAAGAAUCGGAGGAUCCUCCCGAAAUUAAAUUGCCUGAUUUAUCAUUAAUGAUCUAGAAAUGUAUUUCUCGCGAAUAUUUACUGUAAUUAUGACUCCACUACUGAAGUCAGUGAUUUGCAUUUGUAACAUAUUUAUGUCACACUGCUGUUGCCUUAGCUGUGCACUCCCUGUGGGUGUGGUAUUAUGGUAGAACGUCAUCAAAAUGAUGAGUCGUGUGCACAUUUGAUGAGAAGCAUCCUGAAUAAAGAAUUGUUGUUCCACUCAAAUCUCGGCCUUACUGUACAUGUACUUAGAUUAAUAGAAGUACCAGGGGUUUUGGUGCUCCCUAA